CAACCCUCAAGCUUUGCUUGGUAUUGGACAUUGCCAGUUUCUGGCAGGUCUUAAAAUCAGUGGCGGUGCCAUUUGGCUUCAAGCGUAGUAAUUCUUCUCGCUUUGGAGAUCCAGGUGGUUACUUGCCAAUAACCCCCAAUUUUUUCA
rnacentral:misc_RNA from 2 species